rnacentral:lncRNA from 1 species
AAGAUUUUCCCAGACAAACAUGUAAAAGGGCCUCUUAUUACCCUUAUUGUUGUGUCAACCAAAUCGAAGGAUGAGACGAAAUCAUGUCUUCAUCGGAAUGUUACCUUAAUGUGGUUUUUAACAUAGGCAGAGAAGUUCAAUAAGCUCCAUACUGUCUUCUCUAGCUUUUUACCUUCAACAUGACGUGAGGAAAUAUCUGCAAGUGGAUAGAAUCACAGUUCAAAAUGUUAGUUAUAUUGAUUACUUCUUCUAGCUUUGUAUUCUGUCUAUUGUCAUUAACUCUCAUGUGUUCCUCAUUUAUUUGUUUUGUAAUGGUUCCAGGAUAUGUUGAAUUACCAAAACUGACGAACCCGCCAUUUGUGCUCAAAUCUUGUAUAGACUCUCCCCUCAAUUCCGGUGGUGGUAUAGGUGACCAGGUACAGGGUGGCGCUUUGGCCCAUCUCUUUGAACUACCCACGUCCAUAAGUUCC